rnacentral:rRNA from 1 species
UGAGCAAUCUGCCCUUCUCAUCGGAAUAAGCGUUGGAAACGACGUCUAAUGCCGAAUACGACCUCCUUUCGCAUGAUCGGAGGUGGAAAGCUCCGGCGGAGAAGGAUGAGCUCGCGGCCUAUCAGCUUGUUGGUGAGGUAAUGGCUCACCAAGGCAUUGACGGGUAGCCGGCCUGAGAGGGUGACCGGCCACACUGGGACUGAGAUACGGCCCAGACCUCUACGGGAGG